rnacentral:misc_RNA from 1 species
GUUUUGGUGGAUAGAUUGUGUUUGACAGUAUGUCUGGAUUACAAUGUUAGAAGUUUUUCUGAUCCCUUAAAAAAUAUGUGUUUCCAAAACAAACUAAAUGAUCCUACCAUCGUGUUGAAAAAUACUUUUCUAGUCAAGCUAACAAAUGAGAAGGGAAGUAAAACUAAUAAUAUCUUGCUCGGGAAAAGAAAAAUGAUCAAAAGAUGCAUGAAGUGCCCUCAUUUUAAGCAUAUACAUUUGUUUUGUUUAUGGGAAUUCCCCAGGUCUCCUGCCUUUUCUACAGUCCUGUUUGUCAUAAUGACAUUAAUAAUUUUUCUCCCUUUUUUUC